rnacentral:rRNA from 1 species
UGCCAGCCGCCGCGGUAAUACGGAGGGUGCAAACGUUGCUCGGAAUUAUUGGGCGUAAAGCGCGUGUAGGCGGUUGAUUAAGUCCCGUGUGAAAUCCCUCGGCUUAACCGAGGAACUGCGCUGGAAACUGGUCAACUAGAGUACGAGAGAGGGUAGCGGAAUUCCCGGUGUAGAGGUGAAAUUCGUAGAUAUCGGGAGGAACACCAGUGGCGAAGGCGGCUACCUGGAUCGAUACUGACGCUGAGACGCGAAAGCGUGGGGAGCAAACAGGAUUAGAUA